GAAAAUCUAAAAUAGAUUUUAAUAGUUUCAGAAUUUGGGUUACAUUAUAAAUUAUAAUAUAAUAUCACGAAAGACACAGUUCUCAUUUAUGAUUACCCAUCUAUCACUUUAAACCUUAACUACAAAAUUUGUUAAAAAAUUAUUAUAUGAGCAUUUUUUUUACUAGUUUAAAUAGACAUAUUUAAAUGAGUAAAGAAUGUGAGUCAAUCUAGCUCAUUGUAAAUUCAAAUUAAUCUGGUUUGAAAAUUUAAAUUUCUUCUCGAUUAUGAGUCAAACUCACUUAUAGUUUUUUUUUUUAUGGAAAAAAACUUUUCAACUCUUUUUUCUACUUCAUUCAACAACAUUUCUUCCAACUCAAUUAAUCUGUUAGAUCAUUUCAGUCUUUCCAACUCAAACAUAAACUCUACUUUCUCUAUUUUCUCUAUUCACACACAUUCCUUUGCUAAAGCCACUCCCACAUCCACUCUGCUGACCCUCCAUCUUCCCUAAUUGCUCUUCUACCACUCCUUCAAUGCUUAGUCACAUUUCUUUGCUCUUCUCUCAUUCUUCUACAUUCCUUUCUUUCUUCUUUGUGUUCCUUUUUAAAGAAAAUGAUAAAUAUUUUUAUUUUUAUAUAGAUAAGUGUGUCAACACACUAAACCUAUUAAUUUAUGAUGAAUUGAAUUCAGUUAUAAAAUUUUUAAUUCAUCAUAAGUGAACUAGGAUAA
rnacentral:lncRNA from 1 species